GGUAAAAAAAAGGUAAGCUACUAAGAGCGAAUGGUGGAUGCCUUGACUGGUAAAGGCGAUGAAGGACGUACUAGACUGCGAUAAGCUACGGGGAGCUGUCAAGAAGCUUUGAUCCGUAGAUUUCCGAAUGGGGCAACCCAAUGUAUAGAGAUAUACAUUACCUAUAUAGGAGCGAACGAGGGGAAUUGAAACAUCUUAGUACCCUCAGGAAAAGAAAUCAAUAGAGAUUGCGUCAGUAGCGGCGAGCGAAAGCGCAAGAGGGCAAACCCAGUGCUUGCACUGGGGGUUGUAGGACUGCAAUGUGCAAGAGCUGAGUUUAGCAGAACAUUCUGGAAAGUAUAGCCAUAGAGGGUGAUAGUCCCGUAUGCGAAAAACAAAGCUUAGCUAGCAGUAUCCUGAGUAGGGCGGGACACGAGAAAUCCUGUCUGAAUCCGGGUCGACCACGAUCCAACCCUAAAUACUAAUACCAGAUCGAUAGUGCACAAGUACCGUGAGGGAAAGGUGAAAAGAACUGAGGUGAUCAGAGUGAAAUAGAACCUGAAACCAUUUGCUUACAAUCAUUCAGAGCACUAUGUAGCAAUACAGUGUGAUGGACUGCCUUUUGCAUAAUGAGCCUGCGAGUUGUGGUGUCUGGCAAGGUUAAGCAAACGCGAAGCCGUAGCGAAAGCGAGUCUGAAUAGGGCGCUUAGUCAGAUGCUGCAGACCCGAAACGAAGUGAUCUAUCCAUGAGCAAGUUGAAGCUAGUGUAAGAACUAGUGGAGGACUGAACCCAUAGGCGUUGAAAAGCCCCGGGAUGACUUGUGGAUAGGGGUGAAAGGCCAAUCAAACUUCGUGAUAGCUGGUUCUCUCCGAAAUAUAUUUAGGUAUAGCGUUGUGUCGUAAUAUAAGGGGGUAGAGCACUGAAUGGGCUAGGGCAUACACCAAUGUACCAAACCCUAUCAAACUCCGAAUACCUUAUAUGUAAUCACAGCAGUCAGGCGGCGAGUGAUAAAAUCCGUCGUCAAGAGGGAAACAACCCAGACUACCAGCUAAGGUCCCUAAAUCUUACUUAAGUGGAAAACGAUGUGAAGUUACUUAAACAACCAGGAGGUUGGCUUAGAAGCAGCCAUCCUUUAAAGAAAGCGUAAUAGCUCACUGGUCUAGUGAUUUUGCGCGGAAAAUAUAACGGGGCUAAAGUAAGUACCGAAGCUGUAGACUUGCGCACAACUUAGAUUAUUUAAGUUUAGAAUAUGAGAAACUAAGUUAUGUUUAGUUAUAUUUUUACUGAUUUUUAUAGAGUAAAGAUAGAAAUAAAACUUAGUAAAAUCAGUAAAAAUAUUCUUAGGCUAAAGUUAAGUAGUUUAAGUUGUGUGCAAGUGGUAGGAGAGCGUUCUAUUUGCGUCGAAGGUAUACCGGUAAGGAGUGCUGGAGCGAAUAGAAGUGAGCAUGCAGGCAUGAGUAGCGAUAAUUAAUGUGAGAAUCAUUAACGCCGUAAACCCAAGGUUUCCUACGCGAUGCUCGUC
rnacentral:rRNA from 1 species